GAUGAACGCUGGCGGCGUGCCUAAUACAUGCAAGUCGAGCGAACAGACGAGGAGCUUGCUCCUUUGACGUUAGCGGCGGACGGGUGAGUAACACGUGGAUAACCUACCUAUAAGACUGGGAUAACUUCGGGAAACCAGAGCUAAUACCGGAUAAUAUAUCGAACCGCAUGGAUCAAUAGUGAAAGACGGCUUUGCUGUCACUUAUAGAUGGAUCCGCGCCGCAUUAGCUAGUUGGUAAGGUAACGGCUUACCAAGGCAACGAUGCGUAGCCGACCUGAGAGGGUGAUCGGCCACACUGGAACUGAGACACGGUCCAGACUCCUACGGGAGGCAGCAGUAGGGAAUCUUCCGCAAUGGGCGAAAGCCUGACGGAGCAACGCCGCGUGAGUGAUGAAGGUCUUCGGAUCGUAAAACUCUGUUAUUAGGGAAGAACAAAUGUGUAAGUAACUAUGCACGUCUUGACGGUACCUAAUCAGAAAGCCACGGCUAACUACGUG
rnacentral:rRNA from 1 species